rnacentral:rRNA from 1 species
UACGUAGGGUGCGAGCGUUGUCCGGAAUUACUGGGCGUAAAGAGCUCGUAGGUGGUUUGUCGCGUUGUUCGUGAAAACUCACAACUCAAUUGUGGGCGUGCGGGCGAUACGGGCAGACUGGAGUACUGCAGGGGAGACUGGAAUUCCUGGUGUAGCGGUGGAAUGCGCAGAUAGUCAGGAGGAACACCGGUGGCGAAGGCGGGUCUCUGGGCAGUGAACUGACGCUGGAGGAGCGAAAGCGUGGGGAGCGAACAGGAUUAGAAACCCGUGG